GACGAACGCUGGCGGCGUGCUUAACACAUGCAAGUCGAACGAAGUGGCGAACGGGUGAGUAACGCAUAAUCAACCUGCCCUUCAGAGGGGGACAACAGUGUGAAACGACUGCUAAUAACGCAUCCUGAAGGAGGGGAUUGGGUCUGAUUAGCUAGUUGGAGUGGUAACGGCCCACCAAGGCGAUGAUCAGUAGCCGUUCUUAGAGCAUGAACGGCCACAUUGUGACUGAGACACGGCCCAGACUCUGACGGGAGGCAGCAGUGGGGAAUCUUCCGCAAUGGACGAAAGGCGGACGGAGCAACGCCGGGUGAGUGAUGACGGCCUUCGGGUUGUAAAGCUCUGUUAAUCGGGACGCGGUACCGGAAUAGAAAGCCACGGCUAACUACGUGCCAGCAGCCGCGGUAAUUC
rnacentral:rRNA from 1 species